UUCGGAUCGUUGUCGAUGUCCGAACCGUGCCGAUAGGCGAGGCGUUCGCCCGGCAAGAUUUCGCGAUACGCGAUGCGGUUCGGAUAGUCCGUUCCGUCCGGUCCAUGCAUGGUGAAGCGAAACAGUCCGCCGACGCGAAAGUCCCUCGCGAGCACCGUAAUCGUGAAGCCGUUCGGGCCGUACCAUGCUUUCAACGCCUCGGCUUCGGUGAAGGCGCGGAACAACACGUCCGGCGGAGCGUCGAAUUCACGUUCCAUGGGGAUGGUGGGC
rnacentral:misc_RNA from 1 species